UUAAUUGAAACCAAAAUAGAGGUAAAUUACUGUUAAUAAUUUAAUUGAAUUAAAUUUAAUUCCAAUUAAG
rnacentral:tRNA from 1 species